AAAUUGGGAAGGUGGGAGGUGGCUCGGAGCAAAGAAGAGAAGGUGGGAAAGAAAGGAGAGAAGAACCUAGAAGGGGGGGAAGAGUUGCUGGCCGCAGCGGGAGGCGAUCCAGGAAAGAGGGAAGGAUCGGAAAAGGGUGCUUGGCGACUCCACGACCCUUCUCGCUUCUCCGGCGGCUGGAAUCUGGGUGGAGGGGAUGGAUUUUCUGAACAAGGUCAGGAAUCUGGACGCCUACCCUAAGAUCAACGAGGACUUCUACAGCAGGACGCUCUCCGGAGGACUCAUCACCGUCGUCUCUUCCAUUUUCAUCUUCUUGUUGGUCUUCUCGGAAUUCAGAGCUUAUCUUCAUCCUGUUACCGUCUCGGAGCUGACUGUCGACGUGAGAAGAGGAGGAACUCUCCGCAUCAAUCUCGAUGUGACUUUUCCAGCUCUAGCAUGUUCUGUCGUUAGUCUUGAUGCAAUGGACAUCAGUGGGGAGCAACAUUUUGAUAUUAGACAUGACAUAUUCAAGAAGAGGAUUGAUCAGCAUGGUAAUGUCAUUGGGACGAGGUCAGAUGGAAUUGGUUCACCCAAGAUUGAAAAGCCCCUACAGAGACAUGGAGGAAGGCUUGAGCAUAAUGAGACAUACUGUGGUUCUUGUUAUGGUGCAGAAGUGUCAGAUGAUGAUUGUUGUAACUCAUGUGAAGAAGUUCGUGAGGCCUAUCGGAAAAAAGGCUGGGCACUGUCAAAUGCUGACUUGAUUGAUCAGUGCAAAAGAGAGGGCUUUCUUCAGAAGAUAAAAGAAGAAGAAGGUGAAGGAUGCAACAUUCAUGGUUUUUUGGAAGUCAAUAAAGUUGCUGGCAAUUUUCACUUUGCCCCUGGGAAGAGCUUUCAUCAAGCAAACGUCCAUGUCCAUGACUUACUAGUGUUUGAGAAGGAUAGUUUUAAUCUAAGUCACAAGAUAAAUAAGCUGUCCUUUGGAGAUGAUUUUCCAGGUGUUGUAAAUCCACUUGAUGGUGUGCAGUGGAUACAACAUACACUUUCUGGAGCUUAUCAAUAUUUCAUUAAGGUUGUCCCUACGAUCUACACUGAUGUUAGGGGACGCACGAUCGAGUCUAACCAGUUCUCCGUAACUGAGCACUUCAAAGAUGAUAGUGGUCGGACUCAGUCCCUUCCAGGAGUUUUCUUUUUCUAUGACUUGUCUCCAAUUAAGGUGAAUUUUACGGAGUCAAAAGUAUCAUUUCUACAUUUUCUAACGAGCGUCUGUGCUAUAGUUGGAGGUAUUUUCACUGUCGCGGGGAUAGUGGACUCCUUUGUGUAUCACGGUCAAAGGAUGAAGAAGAAGAUGGCGUUAGGCAAGUUCAGUUGAUGAUGAGACAGGAAUCUGAAUUCCAUUACGAGGAAAGCUAAUUUUGUCCAGAGAUGAAGAGUCAUAUCCAAUGUUGAGGAAAAAGUACCGGACGGGUAAAACACGGAUGUGUGUGUGUGUAUGCUGGAUUCAUACAGUCCCGGACAUGUGCCUUGGUGCAGUAUUUUCUGAUCGACAAAUUUCUAUUCAACGGCUAGUUUUUUCAACUAACACUACAACCUCGCAUCCAACUUAUUAAAUUUACAUGCUUUCAUCAAAAAUUUAUAUAUUGCUAUGGUGAACAAAAAUGACAUGUCAAAUUAAGGCUGUAUGUUUAUUUCUUUUUU